rnacentral:rRNA from 1 species
UACGAAGGGGGCUAGCGUUGCUCGGAAUCACUGGGCGUAAAGGGUGCGUAGGCGGGUCUUUUAAGUCAGGGGUGAAAUCCUGGAGCUCAACUCCAGAACUGCCUUUGAUACUGAAGAUCUUGAGUUCGGGAGAGGUGAGUGGAACUGCGAGUGUAGAGGUGAAAUUCGUAGAUAUUCGCAAGAACACCAGUGGCGAAGGCGGCCAACUGGGCCACUACUGACGCUGAGGAGCGAAAAGCUGG